UGAUACCGGGCGAAGCACAAUAUUUUGUAACAAAUUCAAGGAUUUACUUUAAUCCUUAUAACUAUUAUUGUAGGAAAGACUCGGAAAAUGCCGGCUGUUGUGGAAAACAAACCUCGAGAUUGUGCAGCAUGCAGAUUAUUUGGUUCCGUCGGCCUGGUCGGCAUUGGCGCUUACCUUGCCAAUGCUGCUUGGAAAAACAAGACUUUACCUGGAAAAGUGGUCGUAUCGACGCUCUCAUUUGCAUUUGUGACCCUGGGUGUGCAAAGAUAUAAAAACCAGUACCCCUUCAAUAAAAAUGUUGAGAAGACAUAAAGGAAUUGAUUAAUUAAGUACUAAAAUGUAAAGGAUGUUUUGUGUAUUUAUUAUACUGUAAGAAUAAUAGUGAUAUUAUAAUAAAAAUUGUAAAUAAUUAUAUACCUUAAAAUAAA